CAGUCGCCGCGGUAAUACAGAGGGUGCGAGCGUUAAUCGGAUUUACUGGGCGUAAAGCGUGCGUAGGCGGCUUCUUAAGUCGGAUGUGAAAUCCCUGAGCUUAACUUAGGAAUUGCAUUCGAUACUGGGAAGCUAGAGUAUGGGAGAGGAUGGUAGAAUUCCAGGUGUAGCGGUGAAAUGCGUAGAGAUCUGGAGGAAUACCAAUGGCGAAGGCAGCCAUCUGGCCUAAUACUGACGCUGAGGUACGAAAGCAUGGGGAGCAAACAGGAUUAGAUACCCCUGUAGUCCCUGUCUCUUAUAC
rnacentral:rRNA from 1 species